GCCUGCUAGGGGGCGGGUCUAUUUUUGUCGUUUCUCCUCCCCUUGGAGGGGGAGAUCGGAGAUAUCGAUUUAAAUGCAAUAGUUUUGAAACAAUUGAUUAACAGACGAAGUUUCCCGGUGUGUCACGCUGUCAGUCCUGUGGUCCGUGAGUUGUCGUGGACUUUUAUUUUGAACUAGUGUUUCUCUUCUUAUCGCCAAUUGCUUAACUAAUUUCGUUCUUUUACCAGAUCGCGAGUCUAUCUUUGGAAAUUUUGGUUAAAUUCUUUUUGGUAUGCUAAUCUGCUCAGAGAUUUUAACAGAAUUUAACCAAAAUUUCCAAAAUAGGCUCAGGAUCUGGU